GACUCUUGCUAAUAUGAAAGAAAUGAAUUUAUCAGGUAAGUUCUUACAUAAAUUAUGUUUUUUUACCUUUUACUGUUUUUAGUAGUAAAUUUUAUUGCUUCUUAGUAGUAAAUUUUAUUUCUUUUUUAUGCAGAAUAGUGUCAAGGGGAAUGUCACUCUCCCGUCCUAAUGCUAUCAUUGGAAAAUGCCGUAUGAUUCGACAUGACCGAGACCCUAAAAAUGAUCCCAAUCCCAAAAGAUUUGACUUAAUUUCGCACACAAGGCAAACCAUGAACUCAGAUGGAUUAAACUCACUCAUAUACAACGUGAUAAAGAAUGAGAAAUUUCCUCUCUACACAAAAAUAACUGUGGAUGUUGGACCAUCACAAAGAUAACUUUUACUAAAUCAACUAUAUUCUGCACAUGAAGCCAUAUUCAUCAUUGCGAGCAAUGAAAUCUUUGAGAGUGUGUUAAAGGACACUAAAGUAAAAAAUUAAAUUAGAAAUCUUUAAAACAUUGCACUGUCAAUCCUAUUGUUCUUACACCCAAGGUGCUCCUUAGUCUAAUGCUAAAGCAGGUUAACUGGGAGUGUAUGGUUUUGUGAUCUUACCCUCCUUGUAAAUUACUUUUUAAAAAUAAAUGGUCUAUUCUUUUAUUCAUUACUUAAAAGGACAGUCUGCUCCAGAAUUUUUUGUUUUCUUAUAAAGAUAGAUACGGUAAUCCCUUUAUUAUCUAUUCCCUUCCCCAGUUUUUGACUUGCCAAUACAUUGUAUCUAAGCCUCUGUAGACUGCCCCCUUAUUGCGGUUAUUUUGACAUACUUGAAUUUUAGCAAAUCAGUGGAGUAAAUAACUCCACUAGAGUGAGCACAAUGUUAUCUAUAUGGCAGACAUGAACUAGCGUUGUCUAGCUGUGAAAAACUGUCAAAAUGCACUGAGAUAAGAGGCAGCCUUCAAGGGCUUAGAAAUUAGCAUGUGAGCCUACCUAGGUUUAGCGUUCAAUAAAGAAUAGCAAGAGAACAAAGCAAAUUUGAUGAUAUAAGUUAAUUGGAAAGUUGUUUAAAUUGCAUGCCCUAUCUGAAUCAUGAAAGUUUAAUUUUGACUAGACUGUCACUUUAAGUUUCUCUAAAUAUAUGCUAUUUGGACUGUUUUUCUCAGGUUAUACAUAAGGACCUUUGUAUAAAAAAAAUGUAUGCAAUAACAAGAUGCUUUUCUAUAAUUUUUGUAAUCAAAUAUCUACAUGGAAGUCCCUUGUUUAUUUUACAUUUAUAUUGAAUAUUGAUUUUUUUAUUCAAUGCUGCUAUAUAUUUAUAUAUAUAUAUAUAUAUAUAUAUAUAUAUAUAUAUAUAUAUGUAUGUGUGUGUGUGUAUGUAUAUAUAUAUAUUUUAUAUAAUUUGGAUGUUUACAAACUGUAGUUUUUAAAUUGCAAGUAACCAAAAAUAUGUCUGUGUUAAUGCAAUUUCUCUCUGAGCAUAGAACAUGUUUGAAUUUCAAUAGUACCAUCCCCAUUUCUGUCAUAAACAUACUGUGUUUUAAAAAAUAAAGCAAAAGGCAAAUUUGCUUUUAUUUCCAGUGAAAUUUAAUAGAAAUAUCAGUAUGCUAACAUACUAUUUUGCAGUUUAUUAAUCAAAGGACUAGAUUUUUGAAUGGAGAGCUUUAUCCUAUAAGAGGUAGGUGGUGGAAUUUCCAGUUCCUCUGGUACCCUCCUUUUCAGCAUGUGUAUAAAUUUGAGUAAAUCGAAUCUGAAGUGUUACCUUGAACACAUUUAGAAAUACCGUAAUCCAUGGCUUGUUACUGAGUUUGUCAGUGUGUCUGUUUAGUGCGAGUAUAAUUGUCUUAUAGGCAUCUGCUUAUUGAGACAAUGCAUAUCUCUUUGAAGCCAACAUUGAGUGGCCUGGUGUCCAUCCCAUUUAUGUACUUAAUUUAUGUCAAUAAAAGAUUUAAUUGUUAUGGUAAA